CCCAUGGUCUGCAACCUUCAUCCCUUCUCCUCCUCCCCCUUGCCGGCCAUGGGGCGCCUCCCGACACCCAAAAAGGGCCUCGCUCCCCCGACCACCUCCCAUCCCGGAGCCGGCACCGGCCACCCGAUUCAAACAACCGCCAGAUGCAGGCCGCCACGACGCCGCACCCCUGGAUCUGACCAUCUCAGACGGCAACCUCCAUCUUCCUUCUCCUCAUCCACCCCAAACAAGGAGCUCGACGACGGCCUCACCAACCGCCCCGUCGCCGGCCUUGCCCCAGGCGAGGACCCUUCCCUUCCUUCCCUUCUUCUUUCUAACAGUCCCCACUCGGGGGUGAGGUUGCCGUGCUCCAAGUCGACAGGCAUCCGUUGAGAAGGACGAAGCGUCUUGGACGUUCGUUUUCACACCCGUGCUCAACGAGGAUUUGCAUCUCACGUGCGAGUGGCUUGUGGUCUGCGCAGCUCGGACGUGCAACCCACUAUUGGUUCCUCCACUGCUACAAGUCCCCCACCUGUUACACUAUCAUCCACGGUGUAGUGCACACGGCCGGAGUAUGCCGCAGCCCACAUCUCCAGCGGGUGCAGCUCGUGGCCUACCAAUGUGCAUUUUUGGCAAUUCGUGUUUGCAGGAUUGGCACAUGUGCUUCCGGUGGAUCCUAGAGGGAUCCUCACCGCCAGCCACGCCACCUCCCACGGGAUCCUCCUGCUGUGUUGUAUGCUCAGAGAUGCUCGCCAUGCGGUUCAGGGCUCGUGCGGGUGCAGUCCGGCAAAGCGCCAUCUCUUCCUCUCUGGUCGGUCGACCAUGGCCGUGCAGCUCGGAGACGCUAGCGAUGCGGUCCGGAGCUCGUGCAUGUGCAGUCCGGGAAGUGCCAUCUCUUCCCCUACAAUCUGUCGACCAUGCCAUGCAACUCAGAACGCUUGACAUGCGGUACAGGAUGUCGUGCGCGUGCAAUCUGGUGAGUGUCCAUGCAUGUGCAGUCCGGCGAGCAUCCAUGUAUGUGUGUUCUGCUGGCCCUCAAAAGCAGUUCUGCUGGUAUAUGUGUGUGGAUGUAAAACAACUAAUGGAUGUAUUUGUGUCUAUGAGCAUCAUCGGCAUCCAUAGACAAAGGUGGAAAACAAAAUGUGAGCUAGUUAGCUCUGCCGUGGCUUUUGUUUUCUGCUGUUCAUUUGUUUGUUAAAAGAUCAAAGAAUGUUGGUGGGAGAUAACAUUCUUUUGAUGCAAUGUAAUUUUUAAUGCAGUUUACUUGCCACAUUCAUGCAACUCACAAACAUUGAUCAUGUAGUCGUCGAGAUGAGUUUACUGAAGAAGUUAAAAAGAAACCAAAA